AUUGAACGCUGGCGGCAGGCUUAACACAUGCAAGUCGAGCGGGGUGAUGGUGCUUGCACUAUCACUUAGCGGCGGACGGGUGAGUAAUGCUUAGGAAUCUGCCUAUUAGUGGGGGACAACAUCUCGAAAGGGAUGCUAAUACCGCAUACGUCCUACGGGAGAAAGCAGGGGAUCACUUGUGACCUUGCGCUAAUAGAUGAGCCUAAGUCGGAUUAGCUAGUUGGUGGGGUAAAGGCCUACCAAGGCGACGAUCUGUAGCGGGUCUGAGAGGAUGAUCCGGCCAACUGGGAAUGAGACACGGCCCCGACUCCUACGGGAGGCAGCAGUGGGGAAUAUUGGACAAUGGGGGGAACCCUGAUCCAGCCAUGCCGCGUGUGUGAAGAAGGCCUUAUGGUUGUAAAGCACUUUAAGCGAGGAGGAGGCUCUUUUGGUUAAUACCCAAGAUGAGUGGACGUUACUCGCAGAAUAAGCACCGGCUAACUCUGUGCCAGCAGCCGCCGUAA
rnacentral:rRNA from 1 species